UGAAGGCCCGGUACUUGCCGACAUUAUUCAAGUGCUCAUUUUCCAACCUGGGCGAUUUAGAGGGAAAAAGGAAUCACUGUUUCAUUACUAUUGUACGGAAGCGAAAGUCCUAAAAUAUCAAGGUGCAGGGGACUGAAAUGGAAGUCGGCAAAAAGGGUAUGUCAUUGGAUUUUUCUGCUUCAUGGCACAAAGGUAAGCGUAGGGGAAAAGAACAUGGCAUACCUGGAAAAAAUUCCAUAUCCCACGGCGGAUGAUUUCUAAGCUAGCGAUGAUCGCAAUCAAGGCCACUCUGUGUAAGAAAGGCGCUUCUCUGGAGCCUUAAAUGUUCUGCAUCCAUGCCAGUCUCGGUAUGACAUUUAGCACCUGCUGUUGCACGUAAGUCGAGCAGAGAUGGUCCCUGAGAUAUGCCCGCUAGCGGCAAAACAAGAAAGUUGAAGAGCUUCUAGCAUUCAGCCUUCAUCUCCUCUGGGUAAACAUUACGAAAGUUGCGUGGCACAAUCUGCCCAUUUGCUUACAAUGGCCAUGAAUUAAAUGCUUGUGUUUGGAAUUGCGAGUUUAUCUCUCAGCCAGGAUUCUUGGCAUUUCGCCUCAGGAGGCCCCAAUCAAUGACGAGAUCCCUAUACUUGUUGACAACCGUUGCAACCCGGAGCUGGCCGCUGCGAUGAUCUUCCACGUGACCCCCUUUCUCAAAUCAUGACCCGUUCUCAUGACAACCGCAAGGAUGGAUGAAAAGUGCUUCAGGCCGUUGAGCCCGUGCAUUAUGCAUCGCUCAUCGUACAGGCGCCGGAGGCACUAAAAACAUGGAAUGUCAUGAGAUUGUUGAGAACCAACAUGAUGGAACAAAUAAUUAUGAUACUACAUAGCAAAGCGGAAAAUUCUCCAAGGAAAUGAGACAAGACGCUAAAAGCAGGCUUCGCCAGCGGAGAAUCUCAUGAGAUCUGAAAUUAAUUAUGUCUUCAUGCGAGUUUACCCGAAGAAAACGCAUCCCAUAUGGCAUAACUGCGUCGUUGAAGUAAAACACUUCGUAGAGUUUGCUUUCAUCACAUUUGUUUGAUCUUGUUCUGCAAUUCCCCCAACCGUAGUAACAGAUAUAAAACUCCAAAUUUCUGAAGGCCUGAACCCGAAAAGCAAUUGCAACGGGUAUAA